rnacentral:rRNA from 1 species
GACGAAGGACCCAAGCGUUAUCCGGAUUCAUUGGGUUUAAAGGGUGCGUAGGCGGGUUUUUAAGUCAGGGGUGAAAUCCUGGAGCUCAACUCCAGAACUGCCCUUUGAUACUGAAGAUCUUGAGUCCAGGAGAGGUGAGUGGAACUGCGAGUGUAGAGGUGAAAUUCGUAGAUAUUCGCAAGAACACCAGUGGCGAAGGCGGCAUCACUGGCCCGGUACUGGACGCUGCGGUGCGAAAGCGUGGGAGCAACAGGAUAAGA